GGUGACUACUAGGAGUGAAAUGACUUGAACUGAGGUGACUAUUAGGAGUGAAAUGACUUGAACUGAGGUGACUAUUAGGAGUGAAAUGACUUGAACUGAGGUGACUACUAGGAGUGAAAUGACUUGAACUGAGGUGACUACUAGGAGUGAAAUGACUUGAACUGAGGUGACUAUUAGGAGUGAAAUGACUUGAACUGAGGUGACUAUUAGGAGUGAAAUGAGUUGACAUGAGGUGACUAUUAGGAGUGAAAUGACUUGAACUGAGGUGACUAUUAGGAGUGAAAUGACUUGAACUGAGGUGACUAUUAGGAGUGAAAUGACUUGAACUGAGGUGACUAUUAGGAGUGAAAUGACUUGAACUGAGGUGACUACUAGGAGUGAAAUGACUUGAACUGAGGUGACUAUUAGGAGUGAAAUGACUUGAACUGAGGUGACUACUAGGAGUGAAAUGACUUGAACUGAGGUGACUACUAGGAGUGAAAUGACUUGAACUGAGGUGACUACUAGGAGUGAAA